rnacentral:lncRNA from 1 species
UGUUUCUUUCAUCUUCUUAUUAUAUGUUAUUUUAUUUAGUAUAUUAUUGUCUCUUUUAUCUUUUUUUAAGGGAAAAUAUCAUAGUACACCAUAAUUUGGUGUGUCCUUUUUGUGUAGACCCUCAUAUUUGAAGUCUAUCUAACAACAUUAAAUUUUUCAAAAAUCUAUCUUCUAACUCCCUGAUCCCUAGUAACCCAAACAUUUUGCUUUUUUGUUGACUCUUUUUCUCUAAAUAAACAUGUGAAGGACAUCCAUGCCCAUCCAUGCCCAACAUCUCUCUGGCUUCAUUUCACUGAUUUUCACUCAUUUCCUCACCAUUUCUCUCUGGCUCUCUCUCUCAUACUAUGCGUCCCUCCUCUGUCUCUCUCUCAGGCCCUCUCUCCCCCCAAACCUCCACUCUCUCUCUCUUUACAAUUUCUCUCUAGUUUCUCUCAAUUUUUUCUCUCUAGUUUCUAUCCAGAACUGCCGAUUUUCUCUCUCUCUCUCUUUCCAUGAGUAAGCGAAACACAACUCUCAAAACAUGUCUCUCUCUAACUUGAAUGGAAAACCAAAAGGGGCUCAACGUUGUCCCUCACUCUCUCAAGCUAUCUUUUUCUUGGGUAGUUAACAGUCACUACAGACCACCGUUUUGGUCUCUUGGCCUCUCUCUCUGUCUCUCUCUCUUCUCGGUGGUGGCACCACCUCUUCUCCACUACCAUGUUCCUCAUUUUCCUCCUCUUGUCUCUCCUCACCGGGAAACCAUCAGCUAUUGCCGGUAAACCAUUUACAAUCUAUCGAAAGGUCCUCCACCAGCUAUUUUACCCCAUAAAUUCUGGUGCUUCAGACCCCCUCUCUCUCCUCCACCACCCCCAGAAAACCAGAUUUUGGUCAAUGGUGAGCCGUUCUUUCCAACACUUGGCCCCCCGCCCUCAAACCCCACAUCGAAGGCAGCUCCGACCACCUCUUCUAUCACAAUUCCGUCCUAAUCCGCCCAAACACGCCAGAAAGCCAUCCGAGAAUCGCUGGACAAAUCACAGUCGUUGUUGUUGUGAUUUAGCCACUCUUGCUGUCAUAUCUUUGUUGGCUUACUGUGUCAGGAAAUUUCGUCAAAAUUCAGGCAAUGGGGUUUCAUUAAAAGGGUCGCGAAGCUCGAGAUCUAGUAGCCUGAGACUUUUUCUAGCGGCCAAUUCUGGCACCAAAGUUGGGGUCUCAACGGGCUCUGAUGUGAUCUAUUUGGGCACUGUUAAUGAUGUCUCUCCUUGCCAGAAAAACAUUGACUCGCCAGAAAAACAGGCCGGAAUUUUGAUACAGUCCAGAAAUCAGGCUAUUGCCGCCUCUAUCCAGGCCAGUUUCUGGUGAGAAUGUGGCCUUUCCCAGCAAUAAUUGGCCUUUUUUCGGGGACAAUGUGGCAUUUUCUGGUGGGUCUUUGACGAAAUCUAGAGAAUUUGAGGAUUUCUAUUCACCAAGGGGGUCGCCCAAUACUAGUUAUGCCGGAUCAAAUGGCCAGAAAAACUUUCCCUUGAGUUUGCCUGCUAAGGGGUUUAGCUUGAGCUUGAAUAUGAACGCACCUUCUUGGGAGAGAGAACCGUCCUAUGCGAAAGAGAUGAGUUUUCUUGGGAGAGAGAACCGUCCUAUACGAAAGAGAUGAGUUUUAAAGAGAGAGAUGGAGUUUGGGUUUUAAAGAGAAGGGAAAGAGAUGGAGUUUUAAAAAAAGAGAUGGAGUUUGGGUUUUAAAGAGAGGUGAGAGAGAUUGAGUUUUGAAUAAAAAUGAAGAUGUAAGAGGGAUAGAGUUUUUGAGAGAACUUUGGACUUUAGAGAGAGAAACAAUGAUGUGAGAGAAAUAUGAAGUUUUAGAGAUUGAUGAAGUUUGAAAACUAAUAAAAAUCAAUGAGAGGCCAUUUCGAUACUUGGAAAUAUACCGUAUGUGAAAUAUAUUAUUAACAUAAUACAUUACUGCAUAAUACAUAACUUGCAGAUGGAUUGUUACUAUUUAGGUAGUAUUUAGAUGCAAUCGGAGAAAUAUAUUGUUGCUUUUUGGGUAGUAUUUAGAUGUGACCUGGGAAAUACAUUGUUACUCAAAUAGUAUUUAGAUGCAACUGGAGAAAUAUAUUGCUACUUUUUGGGUAGUAUUUAGAUGCGACAUGGGAAAUACAUUGUUACUAUUUGGGUAUCUUUAAGAGAAAUAUGGGAAAUGCAUUACCAACAUAUCUAUAAACUAUCAUUUCUUUCUUUUUUGAUAUAAAAUUACACUGAAAUGUGGAAUUGAAAUUAUCAUCACACCACUAAAAAAGAUUUUCUAAUAAUAACAUCAACACCAUUAAAAAAAAUAAUUUUUAAUAAUAACUUGUCUCAUUCUAAAGUCAUCAUCACACCAUUUCCUACUUAUUUUGUAUGCCUUUGGCACUUACAUGGAAUCACAUGUCUUCUAACAUGAUUAAACUUUAGUCAUUGGAAUAUUAUGAUUGAAAUAACAUAUUUUUAUUGUGAUAAACUUUAUUUUUAUUUAUUUUUUAUAGAAGUCUUUGAAAUGACUCUAUAUAAUUUCAAAUAAACAAUAAAUUUAUGGUACUAAAUUCAAAAUUUUUAUGGUAAAUUAAAAAAUAAAAAAAAGUUUGAUAAGUAAACUAGAAGGUUUGGUAAUUUCAAUAUAAAAUUUUGAAGUAAUGGAGGAGACUAAAGAUGUAUGACUUAUCCACACCAAAAUAAUUACCCUUAACGAGAGAGAUCGAGCCAAAGAUUUCCCAAAUGUUAGCUGUUAAUAUUUAUAAUAGAUUUUUUACCUCUUACCGCAUCAAUUUCGUGAUUUUUAAAGAAAUGAUUUCGUGAAUUUUAAAGAAAUCUCAAGUAAUCUUGAUAAGUUUUUUUCAUUUUCGUACCAAAAUGAUAUAUUUCUUUGUAAUCUAUUAUCAUGAAAUAGGUUUCACCAAACGGCUCGUAAGAGAGAAAGAGAAUAUGAGAGAGAAAGAGAGAAAUGGUAAAAAAACGAGGGAAAAUCAAUAAAAUAAAACCAAAGACUGAUGUUAAUAUAUUUAUUUAGAGCAAAAAAAAAAGUUAACAUAAAAAACAAAAUGUUUGAGUCAAUGGGGAUGUUAGAAGAAAGGUUUUUGGAAAAGUUAAUACCAUCAGUUAGAGUUCAAACACGAGGGUUUACAAACAAAUGAUAUACCAAAUUAGGGUGUACAAUGAUACCCAAAUAAAUUUAGAGACGCUUGAGUUUCAUGAAAUCAAAAGUAUAUUUAAAAAAAAAAAAAAAAAAAAGCGGCAUAUUUUUAGGGAAAUAAGCCCUAGCACUAUGGAGUGGGAAAAUAAAAAUGAGGGAAAUGAGGCAGAAGCUAACCUUAAAUAAUGAGUUUAGGAACCAAUUAUCUCUCCUUUACCCAUUCUUCUCACGCUCUUCAAUUCGGCCGCCUCUCUCACUGGAAGAACCCUGUUCAGCAAGUAUGCAUAAACACGUUUUCCAUUUCUCCCUUUUUUUCUUGAGGAUUUGUUUUAAUUUUAUUUUCUUUCUCUGUUAUCCCGAUAACUCCUCAACACAUAAAAAUUCCUAUUUUUCAAUUUUUUUAUACUUUUUUAUCUCAUUUUCCUGUAACAUGAACAUGAAUUUCAGGGUUCAUCUUAUUCUCUCACCAUCAAAUGCAUUAUUGGUUUAAAUUCUGGGUUUGAUUCUUAGCUUUUCAUCGUUUUAUCUAUUGGGUUUAUCUUGGACCGGGGUUGGAGCAAUUUUAUUUGAUGUUUCUCUAAUUUGAGGAUGCGUUUCUGGGAUUUUCUUCUUCUCUCACUAUCAAAUAUUUUCCGUUUUGGCAAUGAAUUUUUUGUUUUGUUUCUUAGGAUUUUAUGGUUUUUAUCUUGUGGGUUUCUGUUAUAGUGGAGCUUGAGCAAUUUUAUCUCAUGUUUCUCUAACUUGAACAUGCACUUCUGGGUUAUUCUUCUUCUCACACCAUCGAGUAUAUUAAUGGUUUAAAUCUGAGUUUCUGAUUUUUUUGUCUUAGCUUUUCAUUAUUUUUUUCUCUGUUGGGUUUCUUUUAUAAUGGGGCUUGAGCAAUACUCUGGAGAAAUUCUUUGAUGCAUAUUGGUAAUUUAGACAUAUUUUUUUAGAGCACCAUCUGUAAGGCUUCUCCGCAGAAAGAGGAAUUUACGAUUCUACGCUAUGUUGAAUGGCGAUGAUAAUGUAAGUUACCAAUUUCUCCAAAUCCAUUUGUAACCAUUCUCUUUUAUAUGCAACUCUCUGUCUUUCUCUCUCUCUCUCUCUCUCGCUCGCUUUCUCUCUCUGCCGCCUUGUUAGUGCUUGUUACCUGUUGAGAUACUUAUUUUGUAUUAAGAACCACUUGUGGUCUAUAGUUAUCUACUAAACUACAUUGUAAAAAAGGUACACAAGGUGAAAAACCCAGUUUUUUUCACUGCAGCUUGAAAAUCAGCUUUACUUGCGCAUUGUGCUGUAUAGGUAUGGUUUUGGACUUAUUGAGAAUGAAGAUCUGGGUGUUUUAUAGUAGUUAUGAUAUUACUCUCGGUUCAGUUCAGUAUGAUGUACUUGUCUUGUUCUCUUUUUAAUGUUUAUUUAGCAGGUAGAAAAUGAAACAGGCACUGUCAGGCAACCUCUUUCCAAAUUGUGUAAGGCCUUACUAAGAGCAACUUUUACAGAUGACUUGGAGUUGGAUCCUUUGGUUGCUGUAUGCACGAGAAAUUUGACGAUUAUCAAUUGUUAGAGUAGUUGUUUCUCUGUUUUGUUUCUAAAGGAAGGAAGCUAGAAAAAAAAAUUGAAGCGUGAAUUUAUAGUCCUUUGCACUUGAUCUUGUUAUAUUGGAAACAAAUUCACCCAUCAUGGUCUUACUCCUUCCACAUACUUGUUUAUUAGAAUUUCAGCUACCAUGCUUUGUGUUUGGCUCUCCCACCUUGGUUCUUGAGCUGUUCUUCAAUGAUCAUGAAAGAUUGUUGUGAUCAUAUUGGAUUAAUCCUGUCUGUUAUGUUUUCUAACGGGCAAUAAGAUGAAAAAAAAUGAGACCUAGGUGCGCUGGCCAUUUGCAACGUAGACUCACUACCACACUUGUUAGAAAGUGUGAGUUGGUUCUGAAGACGACAAAUUAAGUGUGGGGUACAAUUAUCUUUUCAAAAAAGUUCUUUCUCUUUAUUUCAAAAGGAAAGAGCAAUACACUUUCCCAUCUUAUUUAAAUUGAGCAAGACACUUUCCUAUUUUGUUUGUCUUUCGUUUCUAUUACGUUCAAUUGGAUGGCUAAAAAAACAUAAACAAGAGUUAGCCCCAAAAGGAUAGGGGUGGAAGUAGUGAGAAAAGAUAAAAGGGAUUUAUGGCCUAAUUGAGUGUGACUUUUUGAUAGAGCGGAAUGACCGACUGUUUGAAUUUGCUAUAAGGAAAUCGCAAUAUCAACUGGUCAACAGCUCCAUCAGAUUGACAAGUUAGAUGCAACAUAUAAGGUUUAAAAAUAUUUCUUAAUUAAUCAUAUAUACCCCCAGCUCCAGCUGUCUGAUUUCACAUCAAAUGGCUAAAAAUGACUACAACUUUGUACCGAAAUUAAAUUGUCAUAGCUUGCUUUUCCCUGCAUAAAAGUCUCAUAGAACCGUGAGUCUCUUGAGGACUGGGUGAAGCAGCGAAGGGAGAGAGAGAUAGAGAAUAGGAAAAACUGAAAGUCCAUGCUCGCGUCUCUCGCUCUUCCCCAAACUUUCUCUCUCUUUCUAAAAACCACAAUGAAACUCUCCCUCUCUCUCUCCUCUCCCCGUUUCCUCAUGGCUCACAUCAUCUCCUCAGCCCCACUCUUCACAACUCUCCCCUCCCCUUCUUGCAAAUUCCGGCCAAUUUUUUUGGCCCAAUUCUAUUGAACUUUUCCAUUCUGGCGCCUUUUCUCCCCCUUAUUCGUGCGACUUCAGGCAAAGGAUGGGCUUUGAGGGUUAUUUUGCUUCAGUCCGUGGGUUUAGAAAGUUGAGGAGAAGGCCACAAGCGAGGAAACAGUCCCCGAAAGAGAAGAAAUUGGAAUUGAAUGUUCGUAUUUGUGUUGAAGAGGAGUUGCCUGAUGAUCCUGAAGUUCUGGUAUUUCUUUUUAUGGCCGUGUUUCUUCUUAUUACUUGUUUAUUAUCGUUGUGUUUAUUGUUAAUGUUGUUAUUAUCAUGGUUGCUUAAUCUUGUUACUACUAUAUAUAUAUAUAUAUAUAUAUAUAUAUAUAUAUAUAUAGNNNNNNNNNNNNNNNNNNNNNNNNNNNNNNNNNNNNNNNNNNNNNNNNNNNNNNNNNNNNNNNNNNNNNNNNNNNNNNNNNNNNNNNNNNNNNNNNNNNNNNNNNNNNNNNNNNNNNNNNNNNNNNNNNNNNNNNNNNNNNNNNNNNNNNNNNNNNNNNNNNNNNNNNNNNNNNNNNNNNNNNNNNNNNNNNNNNNNNNNNNNNNNNNNNNNNNNNNNNNNNNNNNNNNNNNNNNNNNNNNNNNNNNNNNNNNNNNNNNNNNNNNNNNNNNNNNNNNNNNNNNNNNNNNNCGAUAGAGAGAGUUGUGAAGGGUGGAUUUAUUAAUUUUGUAGUCUAUUUUUUUUUAAAAAGUUGCUUUUGUGGGGCAAUUUUGUAAAUAUUACUACAAGACAAAAGGUACUUUUAUCAUCUCCAUAAGGGGUAAAGUUGAAAUUUUAACUAAAGGACAAGGGCACUCUACAAAUAAAGUUCCAGACAAUAAAUUCCAAAAUGGCAUUUUACUUUUGUGAAAAUUUCAAAUGGUAAAGUUACCUAGUUAAAUAAUUUUUUAAUAAAAAAAUAAUGAGUAUUUUGAUAAAUACACCCAUCACAACCCCUUCUAACUUUAACCUUUGUAUUUUGAGGGGUUGUUAACUCUAGACAAACCCAUAUAUAUUUAUAUAUAUACAUAUAUAUAUAUAUAUUUAUUUAUUUUUUCUUAUUGAAGUUGAGUUUUCCAAGUAUAUGAUACAAUUCUGCUGAUAAUGAUUCACAUUGUACUUGUUUUUUUUUUUCUAAUGUUGUUUCCUUUUUAAAUGGUCAUUGUUAUUUGGGUUUCUUUUGGUUUUAUUGCAAUGUCAGAUUUAUAUUGUUUGAUUCUUGACCCGGUCAUUACUUUGUUACGGAAGUUGGUAAAUAUUUAGUUUUUGAGCGUGAUAGUUGUGAACCUGAUUAGGUUGUUUGCUUUACCUUUUUCCUCCUCUUAAAUUAAGUUCCUUGAUCUUAGUUAAGCUUUCUAUUGCUAAAACCGUGGAAUUAAGUGCAAUGUUCGAUAACAAUAAAAAUGAAGCUUGUGCGGAUAUUAUAUUGGUUUAUUUUUUGACUUGGCAACCCUAGUACAUUCAUUAAUGUCAUCAUCUCCACAGUAUCAUCAAUAUCAACAAUAGAAUUGUUGAUAUCAUAUCGCCUCUCAAAAACAUUUCUCUUGAUGUCAAUAACGGCAAUACGAUGACCCGUACCUGUUUAGAGUCAUAAUGAGGUUACCCGGGUGAUGCAUAUGCAACGAUCUAUUCUUAAUGACGUAGUGCAAUUAUUAUCGAUACAAUGGCAUCUAGUGUGAUACUUUUUACUACUCGGUUUAACAUAUUUAAAAAAGAAGAAGUUAAGAACUUGCCACAUUGUAUCACGAUCCAAGUUGACCUAUCAUACUCAAGUUGACCUAUAUCUGUUGGGAUGGGUUGGAGCUCUUGAUUUGCAUUCAUACCCAUAUGAGGAGGCAGGACUCGUGAAUGUAAGCAUGGCUGUAAAAUAGGCAUCAGUUUUUGUCAUUGCUGGUUGGGCAUAGCUUGCCCCUUUAUUUUACAUCUCUGUUAAUUGGAUGCUUCAAAACAGGAAAGCGUAUGUCGUGUCCAACGACAGAUGGACAUCAGCAUCCCUUGGACACUCAUUGCAUGGCUUGAGUAGAUGUGUCCACCCAUAUUUUGGAAAUUGGGGUCUAGCUCUCGAAUUAUGACCUCUGCUUAAAAAAGAAACACUUGCAUAAGUUCCCUUCGGAUAAAAAAAUAAAUAACUGAAAAGGGAAUGUUAAAAAAAAUAAAAUAACUACAAAUGAAGGAAGAAAACCUUAUUGGUAAAAACUGCAGGCAGCCCUUGGUAGUUGUAAUCAAUUGUGCAAUGAAGCAUAAGCGCCUUCCAAAUCCAUCAAAAGGGGUUCCAAUGUACAUUUGUUGGAAAGUUUAUUUGAAGGGAUUAACAUAUCACUUUGGCCUAGUUGGGAAAAGGCCCUGACAAUGAUUAUGAUGAUGACAUAUCACGUUGGUCUUGUUCAUUUCUAACACCAGGAUUCAAAGUUUAUGCUGUGGAUAUAACAUAGUUUAAAUGACUUAUAUUAGAAGUUGACUAUUUCAAUAAAAGCAUUUGCAGAGUGUUUUUUCUCGAGAGCUAGAUGCUCUUAAUGAAUGUACAGGUAAAACUUCUCAAUUUUGGGAAGCAGGAACACUGCAAAAUGUAGUUUCAAUGUGAUUCUAAUCUGUUUUCAUGUAAAACAUAUUUUUAAAUUCUAGAUAGAAUGUUAUUCACUAAAGUCCAAGCAAGGAAAUUUUUUGAAACUUUGUUUACGACAUGAGAUUUUUAAGUGUACAUGGCUACUACUUGACCAACUUAUAAAGUGCAUCCAUGAAACUUGCCAUUCUUGACCAUCUUUUUGCACAGCUUUUCAGCUUGAACUUCCCCUGCUGCUUUCUUUUUGUCAUUACCUUGUAUUUUUCAUAGUCUAACCCCCAUGCGUUCUUCCCAAAUCCUGAAGGAAAGAAAACCUUUUGAAGAUUGAAGCAUGGGGUAUAAGCUUCAAGAAAGUCAUCCAUUCUUAUGUUUUCUCUCAUACAACCUACAACACACCAUUUCAAAAGCUUUCAAGUCUUUGAAUUUGGGCUUUGGCUCUUCGCCUGUUGGUGAGGGGCUUAAGGACAUCGACAGCCACAGCACAUCAUCCAUGGUUCAUACCCGCCUGCUAACCUACCCAAGAAGAUGCCUUUGAAGAUGUUUAUAUCUUGAUUUUGGAAGGCAUAUGUUUAGUCUCUUUUAUUCAUAUUUUAAUAUACUGUAACAAUGUUUAUUUACAUAAUUUUUUCUUAUUCUUUAUCAUUUUUUCUUUUUCUUUUCUAGAUUAGUAGCCAUUCUUAGAAGAGCUUGGUUACUGAUUUUAUGUAGCCCAUGGGAUACUUGAGCCUCAUGCCAUUAGAAUAUCAAGGAAUCCUUGCCUAAUACAAGUGCUUGCUAACUAAUUUACAAUGUACUUUCAUGGGGUUCUUGUCUUUGAGUUUUGAAUAGAUUGAUUUGAUGCCUUCAGCAAACAAAUGUUUUCUACGAACACUUUGUAAAUUGUUUUACAUGUGGUAUGGACACUUUGUAGGUGCCAGUUCAUGAGUAACUUUUCUACGUCCCUAUAUGAAUUCGUUUUGGCCGAUGCAUCUCACGUGUUUCCUCCAAUUUCUGAAAUACGUAUAAAUAAUUAUCAAAAGUUCUCCUCAAAUCUUCUAAAUUACAUUUAAACUAAUGGUUAAACUUUAAGUGCCUUUGCUAAUGCGUGUCACUAUAAAACUGAUCUUUUUUUAAAGAAGAAUUUAUGCAAAUUAACUUCAAAUUCUCCAUUAGUUUGGUUAUUGUCUGUGCAUAUUGAAUACCAUAAUUGAUGCCCUUAAUAUCAUCCCAAGGCCAAAUGUUAUGUGAUUGAUGCUCUUAACAUUAUCCAUUGCCUGAAGAUUUUUGUAUUGACAUCCAUCACUACUCCCUGCGCAGGUUGCAUCAACUUGUUUUCAUUUUCAUAAAUUUCAAUAUACAUAUGGCAUAAUUUGUUGCCCAAACGAUCAAUUUUAUUUAUUUAUUUAUUUAUUUUUUCUGUACAGAGCACAGCAGAAAUGCUUCUCCUGAAGGUUCCCAUGGCAAUGAAAAUUGCAUUUGAUGGUCUAAAAGAUUCAGAAUACAAGACAAGAGACAAAGCGAUUGAUGAUGUUGGUGGUUUUGAAAGGGUGGAACUAUCUGUUUUGUUAUGCAAUGAUGAUUUUAUUCGAAAACUCAACAAAGAAUGGCGAGAUGAGGACCAUGCUACUGAUGUCCUCUCUAUGUCACAGCAUAUUCUUGGAUUUGAUCUACCUAUUGUAAGGAUUUUCUAUGCCAAAACAUAAAUCCCUUAUUCCGUGUUUGUUUUAUGUAUAUUACAUUUGUGGUUUAGCUCACAUACAUUUAGUCCACAGCUCAUGCUAGGGGACAUUGUGAUUUCUGUUGAGACAGCUGCAAGGCAAGCAGAAGAAAGAGGACAUACUCUUUUAGAUGAGAUACACAUCCUUCUGGUUAGUUAAGCAUUCAAGCUGUGAAUAUUUUGUUGUUUUUAUAGCGUUUCACAAACAGUUAAAUAUGCUUGGUAUAUGAUUGUUUUGGGGGCAGUAUAAAAGUUUUUGAUGUAUAGAGGCUCAAACUGUCCACCUUGGUAUCACUCUUUCAUCUAUUAGACUAAAUGCUGGGCUGACCAAGGGUCAAUCGUUUGGGCAUUUCUUGACAUCUAAAUUUAAGACAUUACAUUAUGAUUCAACUAUUUUCAAGCUCUCAUGUACCUUUUGAUAGUGGAUACAAAGACUAGAGCAAAUUUCCAAGCCGAAAAACAAGGCAAAAUGGACACCUUCAACAAGCCACUUGCUAAAAACCAAGCUAAAUGAAUAAGUUACAAUCCAUUAAAUAACAAUUACAGUCAUUUCUAGCCUUGUAUAACCACUGUAAAUAAACUCAAAUACCAACCCCUUAUGGGGCAAUUACAUAUAAAGCAAGACUAGCUUAUGAAUUGCACUUUCAUAGCAUAAAUUAUAUAAACUAUGUCCCAAAGCUUAAAUGCAUCAUACAACUAAUCUAAACAAAAUUCUAAGGAAUAAAAUCAACUAAACAGGGAAUUAGAAUGCCAAAUUAAAAUAGGGAAGCCAUGUUUUGAACCCCUUGUGUCGGGACAACACAAUUGGGCCCUAUAAGGACUUAAUUUUGUCCUUUCGGAUUGUACAAAAGUGGUUCAAUCUAAUAAGAGUGUUUAAUCCAAAUGGGAAAAAAUUACAUACUUUAAAGUCACUUCUUAAAAUCUCAACACACUGGCAUUAUCAUCUAAAACAGAAUGCAAAAAGUUUGAAUAAAAUUGGAUAAAGAACCAGAGAGUUAUAGCCAAACUACACACGGUGGUCCCUCGGACCACCAAAAUAGUCUUGUAUGGAAAGAUUAUGAAUCCCCAUAGGGAAAAACGUGAUGAAAAAGUUCUGAAAAUUGAGUGACACUCUGAGAAUAAAUUAUUUGAUGGAUUUGAAGCAAAGCAAUCAAUGGAUACUAUGCAUGAUCAUGGAUUCUCAUGCAUAUAGGCUAUAACUCAUGAAGGACCACACUAUGAAUAAGCAUGAUGAAAAAGAAGAUCAAAUGGGAAUUCUAAUAUCAAUGAAACUUUUCUAAAUUCAAAACACCAGCAACUAUAGAUGCCAAGAAUAUGAUCUUAUGAGAAAAGAAAAUUGAAUGAAGUUUACCUUGAUAAAUGCACAUUAUGGACUUAAGCAUAAGAAAGGAGGACCACCAUCAAGAUCACCAUCAAUGGAACUUUAAAAGCUCUCUCUCUUCAAUUUUUUCUCACAAAACCUUAGAAGAAAGAGGGGAGCAACAAUUUUCCAAAAUAGUUCAAGAGUUGAGAUAGUUAGAGUUUGAGAUCUCAUGAUGUGCUUUUAUAACAUGGGUGUAACCUUGGACUCAAUCAACACCUUUGAUGCACUAAUCCAAAGGCACAUGAGAGGCUAAUGUACUUAGCCACCCAUCCCCAUCCAACCACUAGGAUGAAAGGAUGAGAUUUCACACCAUUAUCACUCACCCUAACCUUACGUUAUGUCACUUUACCAUUUUGUCCUUGGCCAUGUUUUUGUUCCAAUUGUAUCCAAUAUGGCCUUACAAAAAUACCCUUAGUUUUUUUAAUAAUGUAUUAGAGUAGAUAACCACAAAGGCUAAAGGGCAAAGAAGUAAUUGACAAAGCUAACACAUGUGGAGAUAUUCUACUUUAUCAAAGCCAAUCACUUUGUAGAUCUAAAAUUUCAAACCAAUCAAUUUAAAGAUAAUAUCCCCUUCACACAUGUGUGUGAAGAUAUUUUUCAACUCAAAUUUGAAAAUGCAUUUUCUCAUUAAUAUCAAAUAAAUAAAUUAAUUAAACUUCACACAUGUCAUGCAUGACCCAUGUGUGAGUUAAUUAAGACGUGAUAAAAAUGAGGCCUUAAUUUAUAAUAUUAUAUAACAAAAUAUAACAAUAUAGAACAGGACACCAUAACACAACCCCUUAUAAAACAAGCAACCAAAUGCUAAUGUAGUCCCCCGCGUAGUGAUCAGUGCCCAGCUGGGCAGUGAUCCUAGAGUGAGGCGUGGGGUGCCACGUGGCAGCCCUAUGGCCACUCGGACGCCACAUGGCACUACCAGGUUAGGACUAAAGUGGAAUUUGAGUCAAACAAUUUGAGAACCCUCAUUUUUUGAGCAAAUGAAAUUUCAAAAAAGUCUUUCAAAUUCACAAUAAAUAUUUAAAGUAUUUUUGAGCUAUUAUUAGGUUUUUUUCAUCAUUAUAAAAUAGACAAAAGGUAUAGUGAAAUCUUUGGCUAUAACUAUAGGUAUCGGAGUACUCUAUUGGGCUAGUCCCGAAUGAUGUUCCGUCAUGUCUCAGAUCGACCCAAUAGACUUAUGUUCCACAGUCUAAAGCAGGGAUACAUAAUUGGCCAUAUCAAAGCUGUUGAGCCAGAAUUUUCGAUCAUUCGGCUCUCAAUGGAUUACAGGUGUACCUCUGUGGGACAUGAUCUAACUUAAUUACAGGGGUCCUCUCAAAGCACAUGUGCACUGGUUCUUCCAAACUCGGAUAAUGCAUUUGGACGAGUGGCUUCCCGUACAAAAUGAAAAUGCACAUGCCAUGCAAUGAUCUCGUGUCAGGAUAUGGACUUAUGUCCCAUAAGUCUUGACCAUUCCAUACAGAGCGAAUACUCAAUAAGUACUCGGGUUCUAUUUUUCUCGUUUGGAAUCUCCAAGUCUUAGCUGAUUGCAGCUAAACAUGAGGUUAACCUAUAAAAUCCUGAACAGGAGGUGACCUUCACACCUUUUUGAGAAAUUGCUUUCUCAACACGUGAACUCUCAUUACCUCAUGCGUACUUGGGGUAAAAGAAUCUGGGCUCCAUUUCGUAAAACGCCAAGAUUUCAAUCUCUCAAUCGCUCCCAUUGAAUGAGAGACUACUGGAAUUUAAGCCUUGAUAAGCCAUAUUUCCAACACCUUUAUUAUUCUACUAUUUUGGAAUUAGAAGGGGCAAAAAUAUACACAUACAUUUCCCUAAAAUCUUCCCACAGCUGUGUUUUGGUAUCGUACUUCACUAAAUGUAGGACAUUAAAAGUUUACUCUUGCUUAUUUCAUGUAUACAUGGUUCAAUUUGACACAUGCUUAGCUCAGGUUCAUGGAUUGCUGCAUCUUUUGGGAUUUGACCAUGAGCUAAGUGAUGAGGCUGAGGCAGAAAUGGAAAAAGACGAAGAACUUAUAUUGAAGAGUCUUGGGUGGAAAGGAAAAGGCCUAAUCUACAGUGCUUAUGAUGCUUUAAAAAAUGAAAUCCCAUAAACGGAAAAUAAUGAUGGUAAUUAAGGCAGCAUAUUCUCUUAUGUGUUAAUGUUAUUGCCAUUUCUUUAGCCUUGGGACUUCCAAUUGGUUGCGUUUUGUUCUUCCAUUUCAUCUGAGGCAUAAAAAGUUACCAAUGAAAAUGGCAGUUCGAGAUUUUUUUGCAGGUCAUGCUUUGAAGGAAGGGAGAAAAGAAGGCAGCUUACGGUUUUAUAAACCCAAGUUAAUUAUAUUUUUUGCGACAUGGAUGGUGAGCUCUGCAACUUUUUUGUAAUUCUUAAUAUAUGUUUCUUAAAUAUGAAAGUUAACUGCAUUUGUGCGCUUGCUAGGUACAUUGCUAAACAACAAGAGUCGAGUUACUCAUAGAACUGCAGAAGCUUUGAAGGAGGUGGUCUCAAGAGGAGUCAAAGUAGUGACUGCUACUGGAAUGGUUUACUCUCUCAAGCUAGGGAAUAAGGAUUAUGUAAAAUGUACUUUUGAUAUAGUGCUAAUUAUUUUCCUCUCCAUAGAAAGAGUUUCUAUGUUUGAAGUUUUGGGUUUUAUAUAAUAUUAUGAGAAUAUUUGCAGUUGUAACAAUAAAUCAUAUUCCCCUAUUUGGUGUUGGAUUUUGAUGUUGAUAUUGGAACAAAUGUUUCUUCAAUUAUGUUUUCUAAUUUAAAGGUUUACUAUAUUGUUUUGGACAGACUCGACCUGCAGUUAUAAAUGCUUUGAAGUUGGUGAAUUUAGCCGGAAAGGAUGGAAUUAUUUCUCAAUUUUCACCAGGAGUUUUCUUACAGGUUAGUAUGUGCAUUUUUUGCAGUUUCUCUCUAUGUUCUUCUCAUUCCUGACUUAUCCUCCUAUUAUGCCCAUGAAAUUUAUAAGCUUUUUCAUAAUUGAGGGUGUCUUAUUCAACAUUAUCUUGUGAGGUGAGGGAGAUUGUUGCCCUGUGGAUAUUGAGCUGUUUCUUUGACAAAGGUUUUUAUUUGCUUGAGAAAAGGAAUGUUAUAGAUACCCAUCAUGUGUUUAUGGAAUCUAAUAUUUCCCAUAGCUGAUAGUUUGGCCAACAUUUAUGGGUUUGUUGGGAGGAGAGUCAUGGAUUGUUGAACCUUUGGUCACCAUGAUGCAUGUAUGGUACACACAAAGAAUGAUUGGGAAGCAUCAGGAGUUAUCUGCUGCAGAUGGAAAUGUGAGAAAAUAUGAUGGUUGAAGUUUGAGUUGCUACAUAUGUAUGCAUGCUUUCAUGUGACUCUGCACCUUCUCGAGAGAUAGUGGUGUGGUGCAAAGGUUGUGGAUUUGGUGUUCUGGUCAAAGGUCUUGUCUAGUAUCUUGUGGGAUGGGAGGCUUUGAAAUGCAAAGGUGGAUGAAGAAUGAGGGACUUGUGAGGAGGUGGAUGGUUAACUUUUGCAAUCGAGCUAGUGGCGCCAUUUAUGAAAAAAGGAAAAACAAAAAAGGAACAAAAAUUGUUUGUGUAAGUAGAUAUUGUCGGGUUUGAGGGAGUGGCCUUAUCAAUUGUUCUAGGUUGGAUCGUUGUUCCCCUUAUCAAAAGGGAUUGAGGUAUCCGUGAGGCUCUUUGAAGGGCAUUCCGGUGGCUAGUGGCUGUUUUUCUUAAAAUUUUAGGGGUGUCAGAGAGGAUAGCUCAAUGUGCAAGCCAUAUAUGGUUGGUGCAUAGGUUAUAGAAGCUACCUACAACUAACACCUUUGUGGCCAAUUUUCUUUUGGGCACUACGGUUAAAUUAAUACUUAAUGUGAAUCUGUAGAUUAUCUCAAUGCUGCCAUUCACAGAGCUGCAUGGGAGUGUAGACAUUCUUAAACCCGUCUUGGGGGGGAAGGUUGUGAAGGUCUAGUCUCCAUAUAGUGGACUCCAUAAAGGGUUGUUUAUGGGUGGAAUUACCUUUGGUUGUCGACCUUAUGGUUAAUUGUAGAAGGAUCAAUCAGGUGAGUGGUCAGUCCAAUGGCCCCUAGUGGGAAUCCAUUUGCUCUGGAAGGGAUCCUAGAGGUUGUAUCUCCUUAGAAAACCAAAAUGUUUAUAGAGAAAUCUAUGAUUUGGCUGAUGGGUUGGUCAUGAUCAUGUCUAUAUAGGAAUUGGACUUGGGCUUGAUUGCUUGGCAGUUGGCAUUAGCAAUACUAAAUCUCAAGUUCAAUUCCUAUCGAACUAUCCAAAAAGAGAGAUCAGGAUUCUGUAUUGAUAUCCAUGUCAUCUUUGGAACAUGUCUUAUUAUUGUACAGAUUGCAAGGCUUCUCUUUUCAGUAAAAAACAUUGAUCAGAAAAUAAUUAAUUAGCAUUAGAAUGCUUAAUAGUAACAACCUUGACAAGCUGUGACCACUGGAGAAAUUUUUCCUUUAGAAUAGUGCUGGGGUAUGAGCAUGUGGAUCAAGAGUUAAGAUUUCAGUUCGCAUUCUUCCAGAGAGUGAGAAGAGUUAUCUUCCUUUCUUUUUUCCGAAGUACUUGUAUCACUGUUACUGGAAUAAUUUAGGACUUUGUUGUUAAUAAUUUAGGACUUUGUUGUUAAUAUUUUAGGACUUUGUUGUUAAUAUUUUAGGACUUUGUUGUUAAUAUUUUAGGACUUGUUAAUAUUUUAGGACUUCGUAUUUUUAGGACUUUGUAUCACUGUUGUUAAUAUUUUGGGACUUUGUUGUCAAUAUUUUAGGACUUUUGUAUCACUAUAACUGGAACAAUGAAGCAUAUCGGCAACUUCUGUCUCAAUAGUGGUGCACACAUGUGGGAAAGAAACAUGAAGAUGCCACUUUAUUUAUGUAUUUAUUUAUUUAUCUUUGGGUAAAUCAGCGAGGGAGAGGUCCCCUACCCUGGUAGGAAUGGAACAUAAGACAUCAUGUUUUGAUAUCUCACCCUGACCACCUAUACCUUGAUUCCAUUCCAAUGCCUUAAAACUCUCAAAAUUGGAAGAAACAGCUAGAUGGACUCUUCUUUUCAUUAUUCAGUUUGCCAGUUUAUUAAUCAGGUAUAACUUAUGCAACAUCAAUUUCCCUUGAUUAUUUCUAGAAUGAUGUGAUGCAGUUCUGCAGAUGAUUUCCAGACAACUAAACCUCCGAACUACUAGGAAAAGGAAUCUGUACAUUUCAAGUCCAGUAUCUAUUAGGAACUGGGCUUGGGCUUGGGCUUGGGCUUGGGCUUGUUUGGUUAAGGUGCUAAUUGUAUUUCAUUGCAACACAACAUCCAAGUUCAAAUUACCCAGAAAAAAAAGGAAGGUCCAGUACUUAUGAGACAGUCUUAUUAGAUGCCACAGGAGCUAGUUUUAUUUGUCUUUUAUGUAUCUUUAUUUUAGCCCCACAAUGAAAAGGCUAUGAUGAUGACGAUGAUGAUGAUUUUAGCCCUACAAUGCUUGCC